GAACGCUAGCUACAGGCUUAACACAUGCAAGUCGAGGGGCAGCAUGAAGUUGCUGCAAACUUGAUGGCGACCGACGCACGGGUGAGUAACGCGUAUCCAACCUGGCCCGCAGUAGGGAACAGCCCGGCGAAAGUCGGAUUAAUGCCCUAUGUCUUCCUUUGCAGGCAUCCAAUGAGGAAGAAAGAUUUAUCGCUGCGGGAUGGGGAUGCGUCUGAUUAGCUUGUCGGCGGGGUAACGGCCCACCGAGGCGACGAUCAGUAGGGGUUCUGAGAGGAAGGUCCCCCCACACUGGUACUGAGACACGGACCAGACUCCUACGGGAGGCAGCAGUGAGGAAUAUUGGUCAAUGGGCGAGAGCCUGAACCAGCCAAGUAGCGUGCAGGACGAACUGCCCUAUGGGUUGUAAACUGCUUUUAUGCGGGGAUAAACUUCAGCACGUGUGCUGUUUUGCAGGUACCGCAUGAAUAAGGACCGGCUAAUUCCGUGCCAGCAGCGGC
rnacentral:rRNA from 1 species